rnacentral:piRNA from 1 species
UGCAAGUUCAACUCCAUUUUUCUCACAGUGC